GGAAGCCUGAUGCAGCGACGCCGCUUGAGGGAUGACGGCCUUCGGGUUGUAAACCUCUUUCAGUAGGGAAGAAGCGAAAGUGACGGUACCUGCAGAAGAAGCGCCGGCUAAAUACGUGCCAGCAGCCGCGGUAAUACGUAGGGCGCAAGCGUUAUCCGGAAUUAUUGGGCGUAAAGAGCUCGUAGGCGGUUUGUCGCGUCUGCCGUGAAAGUCCGGGGCUCAACUCCGGAUUUGCGGUGGGUACGGGCAGACUAGAGUGAUGUAGGGGAGACUGGAAUUCCUGGUGUAGCGGUGAAAUGCGCAGAUAUCAGGAGGAACACCGAUGGCGAAGGCAGGUCUCUGGGCAUUAACUGACGCUGAGGAGCGAAAGCAUGGGGAGCGAACAGGAUUAGAUACCCUGGUAGUCCAUGCCGUAAACGUUGGGCACUAGGUGUGGGGGACAUUCCACGUUUUCCGCGCCGUAGCUAACGCAUUAAGUGCCCCGCCUGGGGAGUACGGCCGCAAGGCUAAAACUCAAAGGAAUUGACGGGGGCCCGCACAAGCGGCGGAGCAUGCGGAUUAAUUCGAUGCAACGCGAAGAACCUUACCAAGGCUUGACAUGGACCGGAUCGCCGCAGAAAUGUGGUUUCUCCUUUGGGGCCGGUUCACAGGUGGUGCAUGGUUGUCGUCAGCUCGUGUCGUGAGAUGUUGGGUUAAGUCCCGCAACGAGCGCAACCCUCGUUCCAUGUUGCCAGCACUUGAAGGUGGGGACUCAUGGGAGACUGCCGGGGUCAACUCGGAGGAAGGUGGGGACGACGUCAAAUCAUCAUGCCCCUUAUGUCUUGGGCUUCACGCAUGCUACAAUGGCCGGUACAAAGGGUUGCGAUACUGUGAGGUGGAGCUAAUCCCAAAAAGCCGGUCUCAGUUCGGAUUGGGGUCUGCAACUCGACCCCAUGAAGUCGGAGUCGCUAGUAAUCGCAGAUCAGCAACGCUGCGGUGAAUACGUUCCCGGGCCUUGUACACACCGCCCGUCAAGUCACGAAAGUUGGUAACACCCGAAGCCGG
rnacentral:rRNA from 1 species